rnacentral:rRNA from 1 species
AGAGUUUGAUCAUGGCUCAGAUUGAACGCUGGCGGCAUGCUUUACACAUGCAAGUCGAGCGGCAGCGCGGGGGCAACCCUGGCGGCGAGCGGCGGACGGGUGAGUAAUGCAUCGGAACGUAUCCCGUAGUGGGGGACAACCCAGCGAAAGCUGGGCUAAUACCGCAUAUGCUCUACGGAGGAAAGUGGGGGACCCGCAAGGGCCUCACGCUAUGGGAGCGGCCGAUGUCCGAUUAGCUAGUUGGUGGGGUAAAGGCCUACCAAGGCGACGAUCGGUAGCUGGUUUGAGAGGAUGAUCAGCCACACUGGGACUGAGACACGGCCCAGACUCCUACGGGAGGCAGCAGUGGGGAAUUUUGGACAAUGGGGGCAACCCUGAUCCAGCCCAUGCCGCGUGCGGGAAGAAGGCCUUCGGGUUGUAAACCGCUUUUGUUCGGGAAGAAAAGGCACGUCCUAAUACGGCGUGUUCUUGACGGUACCGGAAGAAUAAGCACCGGCUAACUACGUG